rnacentral:rRNA from 1 species
CCUACGGGGUGCUGCAGUGGGGAAUAUUGGACAAUGGGCGAAAGCCUGAUCCAGCCAUGCCGCGUGUGUGAAGAAGGCCUUCGGGUUGUAAAGCACUUUCAGUGGGGAAGAAAGCCUUGGGGCUAAUACCCUCGAGGAAGGACAUCACCCACAGAAGAAGCACCGGCUAACUCCGUGCCAGCAGCCGCGGUAAUACGGAGGGUGCGAGCGUUAAUCGGAAUUACUGGGCGUAAAGCGCGCGUAGGCGGUCUGAUAAGCCGGUUUGUGAAAGCCCCGGGCUCAACCUGGGAACGGCAUCCGGAACUGUCAGGCUAGAGUGCAGGAGAGGAAGGUAGAAUUCCCGGUGUAGCGGUGAAAUGCGUAGAGAUCGGGAGGAAUACCAGUGGCGAAGGCGGCCUUCUGGACUGACACUGACGCUGAGGUGCGAAAGCGUGGGUAGCAAACAGGAUUAGAUACCCCGGUAGUC